rnacentral:lncRNA from 1 species
GUGCUGCUGACUACCUGGGAGCCUUGUCAGCAGUGGAGUGACUUGAUUUCCCAUACUCACUUCGGGAUGUGCGAGGUAGAGGAGCCAGGCAUGGGUGCUGAGAAGCCUGAGGACCCAACACCACUUGGUUGCUGCUGAUAUCCGUGUGGCACCAGCCACGGCGCUGACUCCACCUCAGGGAGAUGCAGAUGCAGGUGGAGUGGAUGUCAACGUCUGAGGGCCUGAUGGUUUCACCUCACUUACGUUGGCCUACUUCUGUGGGGAAGCCCUGGAGCCGAUACCAGCUGAGGAGGAUGACACAUAAGCCAGCAUCAUCUCAGAUUUGAUCUGUCAAGGGGCCCAGUUUGGGGCACGGACUGACCACACUGGCGAGACGAGACGGCACUGGCGAGAACGCCCUGCAUUCAGCUGCCUGCUAUGCUCGAGUGGAUGCAGCCAAGCCGCUACUGGAUGCUGGGGCGGACACCUAUGCCCAGGAUCAUUCGGGCGCACCCCUCUGCACGCCGCAGUGACAGCUGAUGCCCAGGGUGUCUUCCAGGUGAGAUAGGCCUGUCUCUUCAGACUGCAGAGCUGGUGGGUGGGGAUCAGACACACCUCUUGCAAGG